rnacentral:rRNA from 1 species
AAGCGUUGUUCGGAAUUAUUGGGCGUAAAGCGCGUGCAGGCGGUUUGUUAAGUCUGAUGUGAAAGCCCCGGGCUUACCCCGGGAAGUGCAUUGGAUACUGGCAGACUUGAAUGCGGGAGAGGGCAGCGGAAUUCCUGGUGUAGGAGUGAAAUCCGUAGAUAUUAGGAGGAACACCGGUGGCGAAGGCGGCUGCCUGGACCGAUAUUGACGCUGAGACGCGAAAGCGUGGGGAGCAAACAGGAUUAGAUACCCUGGUAGUCCACGCCGUAAACGAUGAGUACUAGGUGUUGCGGGUAUUGACCCCUGCAGUGCC